rnacentral:rRNA from 1 species
GAGUUUGAUCUUGGCUCAGAACGAACGCUGGCGGCAUGCCUAACACAUGCAAGUCGAACGGGAUCCAGGCUUCGGCCUGGUGAGAGUGGCGGACGGGUGAGUAACGCGUGGGAACCUGCCCAAUGGUCUGGGAUAACCGCGGGAAACUGCGGCUAAUACCGGAUAAGCCCGAGAGGGGAAAGAUUUAUCGCCGAUGGAGGGGCCCGCGUCCGAUUAGGUAGUUGGUGAGGUAACGGCUCACCAAGCCGACGAUCGGUAGCUGGUCUGAGAGGAUGAUCAGCCACACUGGGACUGAGAUACGGCCCAGACUCCUACGGGAGGCAGCAGUGGGGAAUAUUGGACAAUGGGGGCAACCCUGAUCCAGCAAUGCCGCGUGAGUGAUGAAGGCCUUAGGGUUGUAAAGCUCUUUUGGCGGGGACGAUGAUGACGGUACCCGCAGAAUAAGCCCCGGCUAACUUCGUGCCAGCAGCCGCCGU